AGUUCGUAGGUGACCUGCGGAGGAUCAUUACCUGGCCUUGGGCCGCUCGGGGGAGCCAGUCGCUCGCGACGACGCUGCCUUGGGCGCUUAGCCCUUGACUAUCACCUUGACUACGUGCACCUUUUGUUGUUUCCUCGGCAGGUCCUCUGCCGCCAGGAACCCCCCAAACCCUUUUGCAACAGCAUCCAAACUUCUGAAAACAAACCAAAUCAUUUACAACUUUUAACAAUGGAUCUCUUGGUUCUGGCAUCGAUGAAGAACGCAGCGAAAUGCGAUAAGUAGUGUGAAUUGCAGAAUUCAGUGAAUCAUCGAAUCUUUGAACGCACAUUGCGCCCCAUGGUAUUCCGUGGGGCAUGCCUGUUCGAGCGUCAUUUACCCCCUCAAGCUCCGCUUGGUGUUGGGCGUCUGUCCCGCCUCAGCGCGCGGACUCGCCCCAAAGGCAUUGGCAGCGGUCCUGACCGCCUCUCGCGCAGCACAUUUGCGCUUCUCGAGGCGCCGGGGGCCUGCGUCCAUCAAGCCCAUCUUACCCUUUUAAUUGACCUCGAAUCAGGUAGGGAUACCCGCUGAACUUAAGCAUAUCAAUAAGCGGAGGA
rnacentral:rRNA from 1 species